CAUCACGUGGGACUUCAUCAUUUCGUUCUCCUUCUCGUAGCUGGCGCUGCUGUCGUAGGGCGUGUCGGACAGGCCCUUGUCCCCUGUGGAAAGCAGGCGACAGUGAGUGGGGCGCGGCCACCUCCGGAACAGGGCUGCAGAAGCUGUGACACAUUGGGAGUGACUGAUGGAAAUCUCAUCAAGUUGAAGCGGGGGUAAGGUGAGAAGAUUGAGGCCUGGAGGAAUCACCUGUAAGCCCCAGAUCCCUGGCUGACUGGCAGAGGAGACAGCACUCUGGCUGCAGAGCUCUGGCCAGCCUAGCCUUUAACUGGAGAAAACCAGCCACUGCCGUGUGGAUGCCAGCGACUGGACAGAGAUGUGAGGAAGGCCCGUGUGUUGGCCACAUUGUCUACAGAUUUGCCUCCAGAGUAGGCCUCAGUCUAUGCUGUGGGCUGGAUCUGCCAUGACGCUGGUGCUACAUCUAACACAGCCAGAGUGAAUUCAGCUCCAGGUGAACAGAAGCUACAGUAAGAAGACCAACAUGAAAGCCAAAAUUUGACUUCUGGACCAUUUAAUAGAGAAUGAAAAGGAUCUUUCUUUAUCUAUAUAAAGUGAUGUACCCUCAACAUAAGGAAAUAAUGUUGAAACACAGAA